rnacentral:misc_RNA from 1 species
CCAACAAUCCAAAACGUAGAUAAAAAGGAAAUCAGUAAAUAAAACACGAUUAUGUUACGAAAUUUAAUAAAAAUACCAAAAACAUAUGAAAUUCAUAAAUUGCAGAUGGCGACGAAGGCUGUAGCAAGUGCCACAGUAAGAGCUGUAAAAAAACGAGUGCUUCCAUCCAGAGCAGCCCUUGUACUCACACCUUCAGCUGUAAAUAAAAUCAAAGAAAUUAUGGCGAAAGAAGAAGCAAAGGGAUUUCUUGGUUUAAAAGUAGGAGUUAGGCAGAGAGGGUGUAAUGGUUUGUCAUACACAUUAGAUUAUGCAAAAACUAAAGACAAAUUGGAUGAAGAAGUAAAACAAGAUGGUGUCACAAUUAUUAUAGAUAAGAAAGCCCAACUGACUCUUUUAGGAACUGAAAUGGAUUAUGUUGAAGACAAAUUGUCAGCAGAAUUUGUAUUCAAUAACCCUAAUAUAAAAGGCACUUGCGGUUGUGGGGAAUCUUUCAGCAUAUAAAAGCAUUAUAUUUCACUAGUAUUAUUUGCAAGAAUCAUAUUUCAAAGAUCUAUUAAGAAUAGCAACUGAUCCAUCAUACACAUAUUUAAAACAAUUGGGUCAACCUGUGAAUAUAAAAAGCAAAUAGGAUUUUUAGCAUAUAAUUUACCACGUGUGGAGAGGCCAAGUAGUUAGGAAAGGAAAUUCAGAACAUCAUUUCUUAAUAGAACCUUAGCUUCUAUUUUAAGAAGGAGAAUGGAUAUCCUGGCAUUCAUAUGGAAGCCCAGGCGGAGAAGCUGAAAUACUGUGAUCAUUUUUGGAUCCAAAUGUGUAUAUUGUUUUUGUUGUAGCACCUACCAUUGUAUAGUUUUAACAUUUUAAUUAGUUCUGUACAUUUUUGUAGAAAGUAGAAUAAAUUAUGGAUAAUAGAAAAAUUUA